AUUGAACGCUGGCGGCAGGCCUAACACAUGCAAGUCGAGCGGAUGACGGGAGCUUGCUCCUUGAUUCAGCGGCGGACGGGUGAGUAAUACCUAGGAAUCUGCCUGAUGGUGGGGGACAACGUUUCGAAAGGAACGCUAAUACCGCAUACGUCCUACGGGAGAAAGCAGGGGACCUUCGGGCCUUGCGCUAUCAGAUGAGCCUAGGUCGGAUUAGCUAGUUGGUGAGGUAAUGGCUCACCAAGGCGACGAUCCGUAACUGGUCUGAGAGGAUGAUCAGUCGCACUGGAGCUGAGACACGGUCCAGACUCCUACGGGAGGAAGCAGUGGGGAAUAUUGGACAAUGGGCGAAAGCCUGAUCCAGCCAUGCCGCGUGUGUGAAGAAGGUCUUCGGAUUGUAAAGCACUUUAAGUUGGGAGGAAGGGCAGUAAGCUAAUACCUUGCUGUUUUGACGUUACCGAUAGAAUAAGCACCGGCUAACUCUGUGCCAGCCGCCGCAGUAACAC
rnacentral:rRNA from 1 species